AACGAACGCUGGCGGCAUGCCUAACACAUGCAAGUCGAACGAGACCUUCGGGUCUAGUGGCGCACGGGUGCGUAACGCGUGGGAAUCUGCCCUUCGGUUGGGAAUAACUGAGAGAAAUUUCAGCUAAUACCUUAUAAUGUCUUCGGACCAAAGAUUUAUCGCCGAGGGAUGAGCCCGCGUAGGAUUAGGUAGUUGGUGGGGUAAUGGCCUACCAAGCCGACGAUCCUUAGCUGGUCUGAGAGGAUGAUCAGCCACACUGGAACUGAGACACGGCCCAGACUCCUACGGGAGGCAGCAGUGGGGAAUAUUGGACAAUGGGCGAAAGCCUGAUCCAGCAAUGCCGCGUGAGUGAUGAAGGCCUUAGGGUCGUAAAGCUCUUUUACCCGGGAUGAUAAUGACAGUACCGGGAGAAUAAGCUCCGGCUAACUCCGUGCCAGCAGCCGCAGUAA
rnacentral:rRNA from 1 species